rnacentral:lncRNA from 10 species
AGGAAAUAAAAGCUGGCCACCCCCCGCUGGCAGCCGCAACCCGUUGGGGUCGGCUUCCACACUGUGGGAGCUUAAUUCUUUUGCUCUUCUUCACAAUGACUCUUGCUGCUAGUCACUCUUUGGGUCUGCAGUACCUUUAUCAGCCGUAAUACUCACCGCGAGAGUCUGUGGCUUCAUUCCUGAAGUCAGCGAGACCACGAACCCCCCAGGAGGAACAAACAACUCCAGACGCACCACCUUUAAGAACUGUAACACUCACUGCAAAGGUCUGCAGCUUCACUCCUGAAGUCAGCGAGACCACGAACCCACCGGAAGGAAGAAACUCUGGACACAGCUAAACAUCUGAAGGAAUAAAUUCAGACACAUUACCCGUAAAAACUGUAACACUCACCGCGAGGGUCAGUGGCUUCGUUAUUGAAGUCAGUGAGACCAAGAACCCACCGGAAGGAACCAAUUCCAGACACACUUGUUAUCUAAAUAAAAACUUGAGGCUGGGCAUGGUGGCUGACACCUGUAAUCCCAACAUUUUGGGAGGCUGAGGCAGGUGGAUCACUUGAGCCUCGGAGUUUCAGACCAGCCUGGGCAACAUGGCAAAACCCCGUCUCUACUAAAAAUACAAACAUUAGUCGGGUGUGGUCCAUGCACCUAUAGUCCCAGUACUUGGGAGGCUGAGGCAGGAGAAUCACUUGAAUCCUGGAGGCAAAGAUUGCAGUGAGAAGAGAUCAACACCACUGCACUCCACCCUAGGCAACAGAACAAGAGUUUGUCUCAAAUAAACAAACAAAACUUCUUUCUUGGAUAAGUCCUAGACAUUCAUACCUCAGAGAAUACAUACUUCCGCCAAUACCUCUUAGCAAAAGUCAAUUGAAAGAUAAGAGAGACUGAGAAUGCACAUCUCUUC